GUAGGAAUUUAGGCAUAUAUUGCUUUCCUCUGGCUUGUAUAUUUCCUAGUGUCGUCAAGGGAUGUGUUCUAGAAUUCUUGACUGUCACUGCCAGUUGGGUACCUGAAGCAGCAGUGGCCCUUUGGCAAAAUGACUGAAAAACACCUGCCUUUUUAUAUGCGAAUUGGGGCUCAAGUGUUGGGGUGUUUCUUCAAGCUGCGGACCUGCCUCCAAAAAUUCUGGAGUGUCACUGUUAAGGGAUAUUUUUUUACUAAGGAGGAAGAGCCUGUUCUUUUAACUGACAGUACUUUUCACAAGGAAAGAAUUGUGUUACUUGGCCACAUGUUGAAGAAUAAAUCUCUACCCCUUCAAAUAAGAGCUCAGGCUGCCAAGAAAAUUGGACUUCUGGCCUUCACAGGAGGACCAGGUGCUGAGAAACUUGCAGCUGAAUACAUGAAAGAAGUAGCCCACUUGUUGCAAAAUGAUGAGGUGGCACCCAAAAUAAAGAUCCUGCUGCUCCAGAGUGUAGCGUGUUGGUGCUACUUGAACCCUGGGAGCCAGAAAACAGUAAAACGCCUGCACUUCAUUCCUAUUCUUGUUAGUUUGUUGGAAAGUCAUCUUGAAUAUUCUGUGGAGGGAGACAAAAACAGCCUCCUCUUUGUUAAAUUUUGGACUUGUUAUGCUCUCUGUGUCUUAGUGUACAAUGACUUAUCUUUCUUAGAGGAGCUUAAAAGCUACAAUGCUCUAAAAUAUAAUUUGCAAAUAUUGGCUUCAGAGAAUUGGAUGGGAUGGCCUGAGAAUUUUGCAGAAAUGCUGCAUCACCUAAUUUGUCUUUACAAUAAUUAAUUUCUCUAAAUCGUUAUGUGAUGCAGCUAACUGAGCCAUUGUAUUACCCUGGUAAGAAACCUGAAAUAAAGAAUAAAAGGCAAUAUAUUAUUCUUUAGCAUUAUCUUUUGUAGUUGAAGAGUUCAAUGCAAAUUUUCAUAUAGUUAACUGCAAUAACAAAACUUGCAAAAAGGACUGUUGGAAAUGACCUCACAGAUAGGGCCCUUAAUGUAUCCUCACCUUU
rnacentral:lncRNA from 1 species